UGAGGAAUAUUGGUCAAUGGGCGGGAGCCUGAACCAGCCAAGUCGCGUGAGGGAUGACGGUCCUACGGAUUGUAAACCUCUUUUGCCGGGGAGCAAGCGUGCGUUCGUGAACGCGCGUCGAGAGUACCCGGAGAAAAGCAUCGGCUAACUCCGUGCC
rnacentral:rRNA from 1 species